rnacentral:rRNA from 1 species
AGGGGGUUAGCGUUGUUCGGAAUUACUGGGCGUAAAGCGCACGUAGGCGGAUCAGAAAGUAUGAGGUGAAAUCCCGGGGCUCAACCCGGAACUGCCUUGUAAACUCCUGGUCUUGAGUUCGAGAGAGGUGAGUGGAAUUCCGAGUGUAGAGGUGAAAUUCGUAGAUAUUCGGAGGAACACCAGUGGCGAAGGCGGCUCCCUGGCUCGAUACUGACGCUGAGGUGCGAAAGCGUGGGGAGCGAACAGGAUUAGAUACCCUGGUAGUCCACGCCGUAAACGAUGAUUACUCGGUAUUGGCUUCGGUCAGUGCCCAAGCGAAAGUGAUAAGUAAUCCACCUGGGGAGUACGCCCGCAAGGGUGAAACUCAAAGGAAUUGACGGGGGCCCGCACAAGCGGUGGAGCAUGUGGUUUAAUUCGAUGAUACGCGAGGAACCUUACCAGGGUUUAAAUGCAGAACGACAGGGGUGGAAACACCCCCUUCUUCGGACGGACUGCAAGGUGCUGCAUGGUU